GGUUAAGCGACUAAGCGUACACGGUGGAUGCCCUGGCAGUCAGAGGCGAUGAAGGACGUGCUAAUCUGCGAUAAGCGUCGGUAAGGUGAUAUGAACCGUUAUAACCGGCGAUUUCCGAAUGGGGAAACCCAGUGUGAUUCGUCACACUAUCAUUAACUGAAUCCAUAGGUUAAUGAGGCGAACCGGGGGAACUGAAACAUCUAAGUACCCCGAGGAAAAGAAAUCAACCGAGAUUCCCCCAGUAGCGGCGAGCGAACGGGGAGCAGCCCAGAGCCUGAAUCAGUGUGUGUGUUAGUGGAAGCGUCUGGAAAGGCGCGCGAUACAGGGUGACAGCCCCGUACACAAAAAUGCACAUGCUGUGAGCUCGAUGAGUAGGGCGGGACACGUGGUAUCCUGUCUGAAUAUGGGGGGACCAUCCUCCAAGGCUAAAUACUCCUGACUGACCGAUAGUGAACCAGUACCGUGAGGGAAAGGCGAAAAGAACCCCGGCGAGGGGAGUGAAAAAGAACCUGAAACCGUGUACGUACAAGCAGUGGGAGCCUCUUUAUGGGGUGACUGCGUACCUUUUGUAUAAUGGGUCAGCGACUUAUAUUCUGUAGCAAGGUUAACCGAAUAGGGGAGCC
rnacentral:rRNA from 1 species